GUACCAAUCCAGCCUGGCUGGGUCUUGGGCGCCGCCCCCGGGCGCGCCCUAAAAGCAGUGGCGGUGCCGCCGGGCCCUGAGCGUAGUAUUAUACCCUCGCUAUAGGACCCCGAUGGAUGCCUGCCAGCAACCCCCCACAUAG
rnacentral:misc_RNA from 1 species